UGGGCGUAAGCGCACGCAGGCGGUCUGUCAAGUCUGAUGUGAAAUCCCCGGGCUCAACCUGGGAACUGCAUUCGAAACUGGCAGGCUAGAGUCUUGUAGAGGGGGGUAGAAUUCCACGUGUAGCGGUGAAAUGCGUAGAGAUCUGGAGGAAUACCGGUGGCGAAGGCGGCCCCCUGGACAAAGACUGACGCUCAGGUGCGAAAGCGUGGGGAGCAAACAGGAUUAGAUACCCUGGUAGUCCACGCCGUAAACGAUGUCGACUUGGAGGUUGUGCCCUUCACGCGUGGCUUCCGGAGCUAACGCGUUAAGUCCACCGCCUGGGGAGUACGGCCGCAAGGUUAAAACUCAAAUGAAUUGACGGGGGCCCGCACAAGCGGUGGAGCAUGUGGUUUAAUUCGAUGCAACGCGAACAACCUUACCUACUCUUGACAUCCAGAGAACUUACCAGAGAUGCUUUCCUGCCUUCCGGAACUCUGAGACAGGUGCUGCAUGGCUGUC
rnacentral:rRNA from 1 species